rnacentral:rRNA from 1 species
AGUGAACGCUGGCGGUAGGCCUAACACAUGCAAGUCGAACGGCAGCACAGGAGAGCUUGCUCUCUGGGUGGCGAGUGGCGGACGGGUGAGGAAUACAUCGGAAUCUACUUUUUCGUGGGGGAUAACGUAGGGAAACUUACGCUAAUACCGCAUAAGACCUACGGGUGAAAGCAGGGGACCUUCGGUCCUUGCGCGAUUGAAUGAGCCGAUGUCGGAUUAGCUAGUCGGCGGGGUAAAGGCCAACCAAGGCGACGAUCCGUAGCUGGUCUGAGAGGAUGAGCAGCCACACUGGAACUGAGACACGGUCCAGACUCCUACGGGAGGCAGCAGUGGGGAACAUUGGACAAUGGGCGCAAGCCUGAUCCAGCCAUACCGCGUGGGUGAAGAAGGCCUUCGGGUUGUAAAGCCCUUUUGUUGGGAAAGAAAUCCAGCUGGCUAAUACCCGGUUGGGAUGACGGUACCCAAAGAAUAAGCACCGGCUAACUUCGUGCCAGCCGCCGCGGUAA